rnacentral:rRNA from 1 species
CCUACGGGGGGCAGCAGUGGGGAAUUUUGCGCAAUGGGGGCAACCCUGACGCAGCAACGCCGCGUGCGGGACGACGGCCUUCGGGUUGUAAACCGCUUUCAGCAGGGAAGAAAUUCGACGGUACCUGCAGAAGAAGCUCCGGCUAACUACGUGCCAGCAGCCGCGGUAAUACGUAGGGAGCGAGCGUUAUCCGGAUUCAUUGGGCGUAAAGAGCGCGUAGGCGGCCUCUCAAGCGGGAUCUCUAAUCCGAGGGCUCAACCCCCGGCCGGAUCCCGAACUGGGAGGCUCGAGUUCGGUAGAGGCAGGCGGAAUUCCCGGUGUAGCGGUGGAAUGCGCAGAUAUCGGGAAGAACACCGAUGGCGAAGGCAGCCUGCUGGGCCGCAACUGACGCUGAGGCGCGAAAGCUAGGGGAGCGAACAGGAUUAGAUACCCCAGUAGUC